UACAGAGGUGGCAAGCGUUGCUCGGUAUCACUGGGCUUAAAGGGCGCGUAGGCGGUGCGGUGCGGUUUCGGUGAAAUCCCUCGGCCCAACCGAGGAACAGCCGGGGCUACGGCCGCGCUAGACGGCAUCAGGGGACAGUGGAACUCCCGGUGGAGCGGUGAAAUGCGUAGAUAUCGGGAGGAACGCCGGUGGCGAAAGCGACUGUCUGGGGUGCCUGUGACGCUGAGACGCGAAAGCCAGGGGAUCAAACGGGG
rnacentral:rRNA from 1 species